AGGGGUAACAGGGAGCUUGCUCCGCUGACGACCGGCGCACGGGUGCGCAACGCGUAUACAAUCUGCCUUAUGCUGAGGGAUAGCCCAGAGAAAUUUGGAUUAAUACCUCAUGGUAUCGAGAGACGGCAUCGUUUUUUGAUUAAAGGUCACGGCAUAAGAUGAGUAUGCNUCCCAUUUANCUAGUUGGUGUGGUAACGGCACACCAAGGCAACGAUGGGUAGGGGUCCUGAGAGGGAGAUCCCCCACACUGGUACUGAGACACGGACCAGACUCCUACGGGAGGCAGCAGUGAGGAAUAUUGGACAAUGGGCGGAAGCCUGAUCCAGCCAUGCCGCGUGCAGGAAGACGGUCCUAUGGAUUGUAAACUGCUUUUAUACGGGAAGAAUAAGGGCUACGUGUAGCCUGGUGACGGUACCGUAAGAAUAAGGAUCGGCUAACUCCGUGCCAGCAGCCGCGGUAAUACGGAGGAUCCAAGCGUUAUCCGGAAUCAUUGGGUUUAAAGGGUCCGUAGGCGGACUAUUAAGUCAGGGGUGAAAGUCUGCAGCUCAACUGUAGAAUUGCCCUUGAUACUGGUAGUCUUGAGUNNUGGUGAAGUGGCUAGAAUAUGUANNUGUAGCGGUGAAAUGCAUAGAUAUUACAUAGAAUACCGAUUGCGAANGCAGGUCACUAACCAUAUACUGACGCUGAUGGACGAAAGCGUGGGGGAGCGAACAGGAUUANAUACCCUGGUAGUCCACGCCGUAAACNAUGGAUAC
rnacentral:rRNA from 1 species